rnacentral:rRNA from 1 species
UACGGGGGGGGCAAGCGUUGUUCGGAAUUACUGGGCGUAAAGGGCUCGUAGGCGGCCAACUAAGUCGGAUGUGAAAUCCCCAGGCUUAACCUGGGAACUGCAUCCGAUACUGGAUGGCUUGAAUCCGGGAGAGGGAUGCAGAAUUCCAGGUGUAGCGGUGAAAUGCGUAGAUAUCGUAAGGAAGACCAGUGGCGAAGGCGAGUCUCUGGACAGCAACUGACGCUGAGGCACGAAGGCCAGGGGAGCAAACGGG